GGGCAUGUAGCUCAGUUGGUUAGAGCAUCGCCCUUAUAAGGCGGAGGUCCUGGGUCCGAGUCCCAGCAUGCCCA
rnacentral:tRNA from 1 species